rnacentral:rRNA from 1 species
CAGGCCUAACACAUGCAAGUCGAACGGAAAGGCUCCUGCUUGCAGGGGUACUCGAGUGGCGAACGGGUGAGUAACACGUGGGUGAUCUGCCCUGCACUUCGGGAUAAGCCUGGGAAACUGGGUCUAAUACCGGAUAGGACGAUGGCUUGGAUGCCAUUGUGGAAAGUUUUUUCGGUGUGGGACGAGCUCGCGGCCUAUCAGCUUGUUGGUGGGGUAAUGGCCUACCAAGGCGUCGACGGGUAGCCGGCCUGAGAGGGUGUACGGCCACAUUGGGACUGAGAUACGGCCCAGACUCCUACGGGAGGCAGCAGUGGGGAAUAUUGCAUAAUGGGCGCAAGCCUGAUGCAGCGACGCCGCGUGGGGGAUGACGGCCUUCGGGUUGUAAACUCCUUUCGCUAGGGACGAAGCGCAAGUGACGGUACCUGGAGAAGAAGCACCGGCUAACUACGUGCCAGCAGCCGCGGUAAUACGUAGGGUGCGAGCGUUGUCCGGAAUUACUGGGCGUAAAGAGCUCGUAGGUGGUUUGUCGCGUCGUUUGUGUAAGCCCGCAGCUUAACUGCGGGACUGCAGGCGAUACGGGCAUAACUUGAGUGCUGUAGGGGAGACUGGAAUUCCUGGUGUAGCGGUGGAAUGCGCAGAUAUCAGGAGGAACACCGAUGGCGAAGGCAGGUCUCUGGGCAGUAACUGACGCUGAGGAGCGAAAGCAUGGGUAGCGAACAGGAUUAGAUACUCUGGUAGUCCAUGCCGUAA